UGUGGCGGCUGUACGAAGCGAUUUCUCAGCAAAGAGUUCGAAUGGGCUGGGUUGGACGUUGGCAGACCGUAUCCAUCAGGGUUCCCCGCAUGAUGGUACCACUUCCUUCUGUAGCGCCUCCUCUGCGUCCUUUCUUCUACACGGCUGCUCCUCUUCCUCUUCACCUUCUCUAAUGUCCAUUAAUGGAGACAAUGCAUCGAUACCUUAAUUUGGCUCCUCCUCUCCCCUGACCUACCAUGUCUUCUCACCAUUAAUACCCUUCCCAACCUCCCGCCCCAGCCCUUGCACAUCCACCGCUUCGCUUACCCGUGCCAUCAGAUCCGUCCUCUUCUCCUUGGCUACAGAAUCCGUGGCCUUCUCUCCCCCGUCCUACCAUCUCCAUCCACUAAAUCGAUCACCACGCCCUGCAGCCAGCAGUACCAGCAACCGGCGGUAGCCUUGGCCUGGUUGGGAGGAAAGCUGUUGUGUAAAGGUUUUCUAAGACAACUUCACCACGAUAUGCUGACGAGAAGAGAUACUGCCAGUCAAGAGUAUAUCAAGAUUGCUACAAUCAUGUUACUAGAUCCCUUUGAAGAAGACGAUCAAUGCUACCAUCCACUGAAGAGAGUGGUGGCUGGGUCAGCCAUAUACGGGUGCCGUUGUUUUGGAGCUUGAGAGGCCAGAUCAAAGUCUACAUAAUUCAGUGGUUCUCAGUACAAUACAUGAGUGUGCAGGUUAGUUGGUUAGCGAAGUGAAGGAUUCAGGACGACCAUUGAUGUGUGCUCCAUCUUUGUGAACUAUUCUUUUGUCUCACAUACUACAUUUCGUAUGCUUCCUUAGUUUGAAGAUCAGAACAAUGAAGGUUCCUUACUAAGCAAUUACAUUAUUUGCUUUGCAUUUUGUGUUUUUAAAUAUACAUUAUUAGAAGGAAAAGAGGAAAUAUUUCUAUUUUUCUA